GAGGACCCAGAGUGUGGGUCAGGAGCCCUGAAGAGGCAGGGGUCGUCGUCCUCAGGUCGCGCCCCGCAGCCCCUCUCCGCUCAGGCCAUCAAACACAUCUGGGUACGCACCGCCCUCUUCGAGAAGGUCCUGGACAAGAUCGUACAGUACAUUGUGGAAACUCCAGUAAGUACUAUGAGAGGAGUCUCUGAUGCAUGACGCAGUGUUUGGACCCAUCCUGGCAUGUCUACUGGUGGGUCCCUGUGCUCUGGAGUACACUAAGCUGAAGACGUCCGACCAACUUCUGG